GGGGAUGUGGCUCAGUGGUAGCGUGCUCGCCUGGCAUGCGUGCGGCCUGGGUUCGAUCCCCAGCACCA
rnacentral:tRNA from 1 species